GCCCAACUUCCUUUCUUGUCUUGCUGCGUAUGUUUUGGAGUUUCUGUCCACAGGGAGUGCUUUCCCUGGGAGGACCCAUCUACCUCCCAUUCGGAGCUGUCUCUAUUUUUUUACCAGGAACUCACUAAGAAAACUCAUUACUUCCUCUCAAUUCAGUGAGUCAGGCCAAAGUCGACAUUUAGUGGGUGGAGACAAUGGGUGCCUCACUUAGAGUGAAGUCUCAAGGAGUCUCAUUCCUGAUUUGAAAUGACCCACAUGGAUUCACACUGUCUCAGAACCUUUAUUUCUUUGAGAUAGAUAUAUAUUUUCUGGAAGCUUGGAAAGUCCUGGGGGUGUUCUAUGAAUAGGCAAUCAAUAUGGACUUCAUUGAAAUAUCGUGUGUCAAUUGGAUUUCAUGCCUUAAUCACACUGGCAGAGAAAAGAGGGUAGUGGCUGCUUUGGAGAAUGGAGGAAGCUGGAAAGAAGAUAAAGAGUGAAGAUACAAGAAGACAACGGGAUGAGAUUCAGGGAAGAGAGAAGGUCAUAGAGCUGAGAAGGAAUUGACUUUUCUUCAUGUUAAGGGUGGCAGAGGGGAAGAAUUCAGCUGAUCACUAUUCAGGUGCAUCUGGAUCCAGGAAUAACAAACCAUAUGGGGUCCAACUCCUUCAAAAUGGAUCUCAGAUGUCAGGAAAAAGAUCAAGGUCAUAAACUCAGAUGUUGCUUCUAUUAGUC
rnacentral:lncRNA from 1 species